rnacentral:sRNA from 1 species
GCUUCUCGAACUAAAAACAAUUGAUAACGCUGCCAUUCUGAGAAUUUGAAGGGUUUUCUGUUUUAUAUAAGAUUGGAAAUUCCUUGUUCAUAGUGAAUAAUUUGACUUAAGUAGAAUAUAAACUCACAGAAUUUUAGUAACAAAUUAUUCAUUGACAAGCACAUUUUGGAAUACCAUGAACACCAAACAUUCCGUGAUUGUUUUUGUUUUCUUAGCGAUAUUUAUUGAAGGCAGUUAUUUUUGCCCCAUGGUAUAUGAUCCAGUGUGCGGUACAGACGGCAAAACCUAUUCCAACCGCUGUUUCCUAGGAAGGGGAGGUAAAGCUUGUGAUGGGGAAUGCCCUUGCAAACCAAAGAGAUACAGAAACACUAUAGGAAGGAUAAGAGGAAAAUAAAGUAAACCAGGCAAGCCUAGCAAGACCAGCAAACCAGAAGAUCACUAUAUAACAUUGUUAUCACCACAUGUCAUUUGUUAUAACUGAUGUAUCAAUGUAAUAAAAUAAACAUACAAAAUUAAUAUAAGUUUGAGUAUCUGUUGUCGAAAGCAAGAAAAAGAAAGAAAAAAUAUUUAAAUUUGUAAGCGAAAAUGAUUUAUCUCAAAUCGCACAAAAUGAACUUACAUUCUUUUAUUAGAAUACAACAUUAGCUUCAUUAUGUAAGACAUUUGUACGGACUUUUCUUAUGUAAAAUUCUUUAUUGCUAAAAGUGUGUGACAAUAAAAACGACAGAUUAUU